rnacentral:ribozyme from 1 species
AAAGGAAGAAAGGCAGGAAAGGAAAGAAGAGCAAGCUGAAUAGGACUGCCUAUGCUUGAGUCGGCAUGAUUUUUUUCUUUUUUUGUCUUUGUUUUUGUU